ensembl:snoRNA
ACCACUUAGGUGUGUUUUUGUUGAACUAGGGGACAAAGGUUUAGAGAUAGAUACAAAAGUAAAUCCUCUUUUGCAACCCAGAACUCACUGUUAAGUGUGAAUUUUGAUACAUGUACAAAGGAAUAUG